rnacentral:other from 2 species
AAAACCCUGUGGUGUUCGUGUGACCCGGUGAAAGGUUGAGCCAACACCAAAAAUAAGGGAGCCUGGGCUUUGGCAGUGGAUUGUAGGCCGCCUCGUCGCGGAAACAUGAAGCUGCCAAGAGGGCACCCACUUUGUGAGGACGGGUUCAAAACCUACCGGUAGGCACGGCACUAUGGGGUUUUU